UUCAAUAUCGCAAGUUGCCGGCCUUAGGGCUAAUUAUAAGGAUGAUUAUAAACUGGGUGGUUCGAGCCCUGAAUGCUGAUUGGCUGACAGCUACUAGCAUGGUGGUGGAAAAUGGUGUUUCAUAAAGAAAGUAUGCAUAUUUUCCCAGUUUUUCCCUUCCUCUCGCCAUUAAAUUGAGUAAAGGAAAUGAACUCCUUUUCAGCCUGAAUGGAGAAGGUUUUAUGUACGAAACCGUUCACGGAGGAUACCAGUGUAUAGCCCGGCUGCAUGCAUUACCUUUGGACGAAGUAAACCAGCAUGAAUGCAGUGGGGAAAAAGUUCCCACAUCCCACUAAAAUUGUGUUCAAUUGAGACCCAACAUCAUGAAAUUCAGUUUAAGAAACCAAAGAUUUCAAGGAACCAAUGAACACUGAACUGAAGGCAUUUACAUACAUUUGAGAGUCUGUGAUACUUAAGGCAGUGUGAUUUGGCAGUUCUUCAGUUGUUUUGAGAGAGUGACGCAGCACUUACCCCAAAGGCAGGGUUGACCGUCCCCUGAUCACUCAGUCCUAUCUCCACCUUUGGGUCCUGGGUAAAAUGCAUGCUGGUGCGUAGGCACAGAGACAGUGGUGGCUGGACGCUGAGGCUCACAGGGAUCCCUCAAACUUCUCCACACGCUACACACUCACUGGAAAACUCUGAGAAAUUCUGGACCUUAGGAAAGCAUGAAUAGUCCCGUCAUGUUGUCAAGGGAACCACAGUUUAAUCACUAGCAAAAAGUUGUAUAAUCCCUCCAAACUAUUUGUUGUUUUAGCCCCUGACCUUUUGUCAUGUGUCUAUUGUGAUGUUGUAAUGGGUAAUAUUUGAUAUAUAUGCCUCGUAAUAAGACUAUUCAAUGAAUAUGUUAACAAAGUCUAUUAAAUGAAGAAUCUGACUCCAUCAGAUGAUCUAGCAUUAUGCAAGAGACUAUAGUUCAGUUACAAUAAUAGGCAAUCAAGAAAUGUCUGAGAAUAGAAUUCUAAAUACAAGUGUAUUUAAUUAAUUUGUAAAUUUAAUGAUUACAUUUACAAGGCAUAAAGCUAAAGUUACAAAGCAUUAACACGCAUUACUAAGCAUUAUUCUAAGCAUGACCAGAGUGGGAGAGAGACAAAGAAACCAUGGCUUGAGCCAUGGCCGUUAGCUCAUGGGAGAGGGAGAAAGAAAGAGAGUAUCUCACCACAGCAGUUCAGGAACAAAAAAGAGAAAGAUACAAUGAAUCUGAGACCCCUUUAUAACAUCUGAUUUGUUGACCAACAGCAUUACUGUAAUUUUAACCUCCAAUCAGAUAUGAGAUGUACAGACCUGUAAAGACAACAUAACCUCUGCUACCCAGAGGUGUGACAAUGGGGGCUGGUGAGAUCAACACUGAGGAAUCCUUGCACACAGUUGAUAAGAGUCACUUCGUGGGCUGGGCUGUGUGAUAUAUCUGCAGACCAAACCCCUUCCUUUAAUUCAUUGAUGUGAGAUGAUGAGACACUAUACACAGGCACAUGCUAACACAUGCCGGCGAGCACACACACACACGCACACGCACACGCACACACAAACAUGCACACAACACAAGCAGGAGCACACACAAAGUCUUGUACAACUAACUUUGUGGGGACACACAAUUCAGUACCAUUUUAAAAAACUAUUUUUCCUAGCCCUUAACCUGUACCCUGAACCUAAACCGUACCCUAAGCUUAACUCUAACCCGAAAACCUUAACCCUAAACCUAACCCUAGCUCCUAACCCUAAAACUAACCCUAGCUCCUAACCCUAAUUCUAACCCGAACACUAAUUCUAACCCGAACACUAACACUAAUUCUAACCCUAAAACUAAUUCUAACCCUAACACCAAUUCCAACCCUAACACUAAUUCUAAGCCUAACACUAACACUAAUUCUAAGCCUAACACUAACUCUAAUUCUAACCCUAACACCAAUUCUAACACAGAUUUUAACCCUAACACCAAUUCUAACCCUAAACCCACUAUAAAUAGUAUUUGAUCUUGUCCCCAGUUGAUUACAUUUUUGAUUGUUUAUUAUUCUUGUGGGGACUUCUGGUCCCCACAAGUAUAGUUAAACACGAUCACACACACCAUACUGUACCCACAUUGAAAUAACAUUGAACUAUUUGCAUAGACUUUCUCCACACACACACACACACACACACAGACACAUACACACACCACACACACACGAUAACAUAAGCACUAUACAUACAUGGAUUUAGUACUGUAGAUAUGUGGUAGGGGCCUGAGGGCACACAGUGUGUUGUGAAAUCUGUGAUGUAUUGUAAUGUUUUAAAAUUGUAUAAACUGCCUUAAUUUUGCUGGACCCCAGGAAGAGUAGCUGGGAUCCAUAAUAAAUACAAAGUCACCAACUUGAUAGUGUCACUAACCAAGCCACGACCGCCACCAGCCGCUGGAAUGCCCUCCCAGACCACAUGAAGGCACCACAGACUCUGGGCUCCUUUUAAAUGGGCCUAAAGACUUUUCAAUUUAGGAAGGCUUUCUGUUGAUAUCUGUGCUCCUUGGUGUCCUCGUCCCUUGUAGCGUCAGCUGGGCUCUUUGCGUCAGUUGCCGUGUCUAGUUGCAUCCAUUUAUUUUCAAUUGGGUUUUUAUUUUUUAUUUUAUGCACUUUGAGAUUAUUCGGUAUAAUGAAAAGCGCUUUACAAAUGUAACGUUUUUUUUUGUAUUACUAUCCACUUUAGCAUUUUUUUAGUAUUUACUGUAUAUUCGUAUUGUGUAUACAUUUCCAACAUCAAUAUUUGUUCCUAAUUUGUAUUACAUUUUUAUAAAGUGUAUUACACUGUUUAGGAGAGCUUUCAUGUAAGCAUUUCAUUGUACUGUUUACAUCCUGUGCAUGUGACGAACAAACUUUGAUUUCCGAAUAAAAUGUUGUAUUUGGCUAAAAUGACA